GGGUCAGUAGGUUGGUCGUGCCACCGGUACGUACUGGUCUCACUGAUUCCUCCUUCCUGAAGAGCCGUAAUGCCAUUAAUUUGGUGUUGCGGGGAAACAGGACUGUUACUUUGAAAAAAUUAGGGUGUUUAAAGCAAGCUAACGCUUGAAUACAUUAGCAUGGAAUAAUGAAAUAGGACGAUCGAUCCUAUUUUGUUGGUUUCUAGGAUUGACGUA
rnacentral:rRNA from 1 species